GCCAACGUAGCUCAGUCGGUAGAGCAACUCCAUGGUAAGGAGUAGGUCGCCGGUUCGAUUCCGGCCGUUGGCUCCA
rnacentral:tRNA from 1 species